AAAAAACAUGUCUUUUUGAGAAUAAUAUAAAGUCUAAUCUGCCCACUGAAUUAUUUUAAAGGGCUGCAGUAUAUUGACUGUACAAAGGUAGCAUAAUCAAUAGUCUUUUAAUUGAAGACUUGUAUGAAUGAUUUGAUGAAAUAUAUACUGUCUCUUUUUUAAAAUUUAAAACUUAAUUUUUUAGUUAAAAAGCUAAAAUUUUUAUAAAAGACGAGAAGACCCUAUAGAGUUUUAUAAUUAUUUAUUUUUAUUUUAUAUAUAAAUAUUAAAAAUUAAAUAUAAAUAAUUAUUUUGUUGGGGUGAUAGAAAAAUUUAAUUAACUUUUUUUAAAAUUUAACAUUAAUAUAUGAAUAUAUGAUCCAUGUUUUAUGAUUAAAAGAAUAAAUUACCUUAGGGAUAACAGCGUAAUUUUUUUUUUUAGUUCAUAUAAAAAAAAGAGUUUGCGACCUCGAUGUUGGAUUAAGAUAAAAUUUAAAAUGCAAAAGUUUAAAAUUUUUGAUCUGUUCGAUCAUUAAAAUCUUACAUGAUCUGA
rnacentral:rRNA from 1 species